UACGGAGGGUGCAAGCGUUGUUCGGAAUUAUUGGGCGUAAAGGGCAGGUAGGUGGUCCCAAAAGUCUACUGUGAAAUCCCCGGGCUUAACUCGGGAAGUGCGGUAGAUACUCUGGGACUAGAGUGCUGGAGGGGUUCGUGGAAUUCCCGGUGUAGCGGUGAAAUUCGUAGAUAUCGGGAGGAACACCGGUGGCGAAGGCGGCGACCUGGGUCGAGACUGACGCUGAGGCGCGAAAGCGUGGGGAGCAAACAGG
rnacentral:rRNA from 1 species